ACUCUCAGUGCAUAUUUGUCUAUGCAUCAUGAGCUUAAGUAUUGUUUCCUUUUUCGUUAGAUCAAGCUUCAACUUCUAGCGCUUAAUCGCUCAUGCCAAGCAAAGUUUGCGGACUUGUUAAAGGUUAAAAGAAAAUAUAUUUCCUUCAACAGAUGUCUAUAAAAUGAGGCUGCAAAUGAGCGGUUUUCUUCUGGCAAUUAUGGUACUAUAGCACGUUGCUGAUGGAAGGCGGUCAAGAAAAAGAUUAUUUGCAGUUGUGCCUCAUCGUCACUUAUUUGCCAAAUGAAAUUUUAAUUGCUGCUGUUAUCCCCGGCUAUAGUGUCUACGGUGGCGAGCUUUCUCCGCGGACCUUCAACUUCAAGACCUUCUACUUCAAGACCUUCAACUUCUAAACAACUAAAGGGAUAUUCUCAUACUGCACUGUCCAUGACGUGCAUGUCGGGUCAUCGACAUGCAUGUUCAAUACCAUUAGUGCACAUGCUGCACCAGACUAUAUUUACGGACGUUGACUGUUUGCUUUAGGCACUGUUUCAAGCAUUGUACGAUGGCCGAUAACAAAAGUAUUUGUUAACGUUUUCAAGUUCCAUUCGGAGUAUCCGAAACUACGACGCAAUGUUAGUCGGAACUAACGUAUCUAGUUAAUCAUGUUAUCGCAUGAUGUUCUUGCUCAUUGGCAAACAUUAUUUCAGCAGUCGAUACGUCCUCCAAACUUCAGUAACUGUUACUAUAUGGUCCCCGUUCGUCACAAACGACCGUUGACAUUUUGUCAACCUCAAAUUCGAAUAUAUUAACCGUUUACACGCACGAGAAUAUCCCUUUAUCCAAACUAGCAAGUGUGUCUACUGUUUUCUUACUAGGCAAACAAAAGUUUGUCACAGCAUGUGCGCAGUUCACUUUACCUAUGUGCAUUCAUACUAAAAGCCAUUCGUCCACAAGCAAGUUAUUUAUUUGGGCUAUUGACGUAAGCUUUCAUGAAGGCCAAACCAAUGCUGAUUCGUCAAUGCUGAUUGUCAGCUUGAAAGUAAAGAUGAGCAAAGUGGUUCAACUGAAUCUUAUGGUUGCAGUAGGGCAUAUUAGAAGUAAGUGACAAGUAUGUGUCAGCAAUUGUUUAUGCUUCUUAACCCUAGAUACUUUUGAUUCAAUCCUUUUGGUGAUGACGUAAUGUGGCAGAAAACAGUAGACACACUUCAUCUCAUCGGAAACCCUGAAUGAUUGGUAUUUGUGAGCAUGUGUGCCUGUUAGUGUGUAAGGGUGGAUGUGGGUGUGUGGGUAUGUAUGUGCGUAUGUGAGAGUGUGCGUGUCAUCUUACACGUAAUUUAGUGAAUGAGUGAAUUGGUACUAGUUUUCAAGUAAAUACGUGCAUGAGGGCGUGUAGUCAGUGGUGUAUGGAACUAGCAUUGUGCCUGCCUGCUGCCAACGAAAUAUGCAAGCCCACACAGAGAAAACAGUUUUAUUGUGCAAAACUACAUGCUGCUGGCAGGGUUUACAUGCAAGUCACAUAUUGCAGGUCUACCAUAAGCAGAGCGAUGUGACAUCUGAUAAGUACCUAACUCACAGCAACACAUACUCUGCAUGUCCAGGGAAAGUGAGUUGUGCUCGGAACAGAUUGGCCAGACAGUUUUGUCCUAUCAAAUUCAGAAUUGUUUCAUCCUCCUCACAGUUGCCAUUAACAUCAUGAGCACACAUUAUUGCUAGAUCUGAAUGCCAGCUGCCUAUUGCACCGCUGGCACGUAGUUUGAGACAAAGAUGCCGCCAGUUUUCCACCUCGCUGCUGAUACAAUGCAAUACUGCUACAAAAUGUCCGUGUUCUGUGUUUUUAGUGUUGUAUGUUUGUAUAUGAGUCUUGCGUCGUGUGAACAUUACCUACAUGAGUUUAAAGUGUUCCCGCGAAAGUAGGUACUGAAUUAGCUCAAGCCAGGAUUGCGUUGCGGAUAUAUUUGUAGGCCAUACAAUGUUUUAUGGCGUCAUUUACGACAUUUCCUGUUUUUCUUGUCGUUGUAUGCACGUGAGUUGUGCCGCAUGUUGCGCUUGUAAAUCAUGUUCUCAAUGUCAUUUUCUUUUGGUACAAUUGGUCACCACUACACAUCACUCGCAUACACUCGCCCAAGCAAGUCGGAUAUCAAUCACUGUCCAGAAGUGCAUGAUGCAUUCAACCACGCAUAGAACACUGGCACACCAAGAACAUGAACUCACGCAAAAACGAGAGGGCUAUCACACGACUUCGCAUUGGACACACCGCUAUCACACACAACUACAUCAUCACAAGAAGCCCGAGACCGAAAUGCAACACCUGCAACACUUUCAUCACUGUCAAACAUCUGCUACUCACAUGCCCACAAUACCAACACCACAGGACACACAUACAAACAUACUGCAGAGACGCCAACAUCCCACUAACACUCACAACACUGCUCGGGGACUUACACCCCGAGCUAACAACACUACUCAUCCACUAAAGACACAACACUGGGCUGAUCAAUGACCUGUAAAUCUCCUCCCCUAGAGCCAAGGACAAAAAAGCCAAAAAAGCCAAAAAAAAAAAGCAAAAAAGAAAAAAAAUAUUCAAAACAAUGAGAAUCAAAAUAAAAGACCCCAGAAUGGCAAAAUGGCAAAAAAAAAAAACAAAAAAAAAUAAUAGAAGGGGCAAUCCGGCUACCCGGGAGGAGAUAGCUAGGAACCCAGUCCCACCCCUCAGCCCACCCUUACGAGCCAAGAAGACAACGGACACUUCAAGGCAACGGACGGACCAACAACGAAGACGGACGACAGAACCGGGCCCAAAUACAGGACGCUGUGGUGGCCCGUAAGCUACAAAUACCAUACCAUACCAUACCAGUGCAUCAUGCAGCAGAAUAAGCUUCAUUGAACACACUCGUCAUCAUGAACGGCAUCUAGGAGUUUCAUGAGUUUGGAUCUGUGACCAGCUGAUUUCGCAGUAUCCAAUGGCAACCGUGUAUGACCAGGCGCCGCUUGGACGCCUUGUCCAGUCACGUCUUCUGGGACUGUGUGAUGACUGCCUCUGCAUUCUCAAGUGCCAGUUUCUGCCUCCGGCCCAUUUCAUUAUCAAAGGAUGCUGUUAGCUUAACGAACAGCUCUGCUCCAAGAUUCCAAACGGUUUUACGGUACUGUAUGCCUACAAAACGUUAAUAUUUUUUGGAGGCGGUAAUACUCGGAUGAACUGACCUUUAUGGGUGGGUAUUCAACGUUGAAUAAAGUAGGCUUGUAGCCCUCUGCCUAUUGACUUCUAAGGGUUUUAGUAAUAUUUAUCGAAUAUCUCAUCUGAAAUGCAUUUUCACUCACAGUCGUCGAAAUCGAAAAAUCAUAAGCUUAGAAAUCCGCGGACUUGACAUAUUAUAUUUUAUCGACGAUUCGUUUCGACUUGCUGUCAUGUCAGCUAAUCAUCCGUUGCUUCUCCUAUUUUCACAGGUGCAUUACCAGUCAUCUUUACCGUCGAUACCGUUGAAGAUUUUACCGUCGAUCACGGAGCACCCAUUGCGCUGGCCGUUGCUGGCACUUUUUUAUUUGUCACUAGCUAUUAGUUAUCUGCAGAUAUACAUUAGCCACCUGUACACCCGCUUACACUAGGUCUCAUCAUCUAGUUCUACAUAUGUGUGUGUGUUUGUUUUAAUUGUAUUGCCAAUGAAUUCGGUAGACAUGCUCCGCCCGCAAACAUGUACCACAUGAUGCAGUUCACUGAAUGUAGCAGUUAAUCACUCGUAAAAAGCGGUCAUGUUUUCGUAUAGUGUAGGUAUGCAUCUAUGUAAGCAUGUGUUCACACUCAUGAGCGAUCCACACAUGAUAUUGCAUUUCCUGUUCAGUUAUAUUUUUAGCACUGGAACACGAUGCUCAUACACUGUGUUGUUAUCUUUCUUUUUUCGCCUGCUCCUUCCUCCAACUUGUGUCUUUGAGUAUUUCAGUCACAUGCUCAAACGUUCUUAAAUGCUCUCGCCAUCGGUUUACGGAUGCGUUGAAAACGGACAUGUGAUGACCAAAUUUAACAAUAUGCGGACAAUGGAUCGACUUCUUGAAGCCUGUGGACGUGAUACACCUUCUCCAUCACCAUCAAGAGAUCAACAUUUUCGAAGACACUUGCGUACGGCUGCAGUGUCCGGCGCAAUGCUGAAUGCGACCUGUUAUCUGUUGGAUCUACUCUGUGAGCCCGAACCCCAGUGCAAUGGCACUGUUCGACUAUAGCGCUGGACGUCGUCUACUUUUUGCUAGAGGGAAAGGUCAUCAUCCGUCCAUGAACUUCGGGCUGCUCACAGCUAUAUUGCCUUGGCAAGUUCUUUGAGCACUCAAUACUGGACUUGGGCUGCGAAAGCUAAUGACAAUUUGGGGAGCUUGAUAUUGCAAUGGCUAUGACGUGAAGGCUCAAUAUGACGAACAGCCCGACUAUUCACCAUUGUCAACGCUUAUGAUAGCUAAAUAUCAUUGUGCUUGGUGUACAUUCACGUCUCGUUUCCUUGCUCCAUUUGUACCUCACCGGUCGUCCGUCCCCACAGGCCUCGGCUGCAGCACAAGCCACAUUCAUCGGCCCAAUCAUCAGUUAUUCAUCCUGCAAGUUUUAAGUCACUUCGUUGUGACCCGGACAUCGUCAUCUUUCAACGAGUUCAAAUGAUUAUUUCAUUCAUCAUCGUCGAUCAGACUCAUCAUGUAAAGACACUUCCAUAAUGCUAGCCGCCAUCUACGUUUGUGCAGGAAGCAAAUAUCAGGUUGUUAUUAGCUGCGGGCUACUCAGUACCGACUGAACUACUGGCAGUAGUGUGCGAGCACCUAAUACUUGUAUUGUGAUACCAAAGCUAAAACGGAUGAUAGCUUAGCGCAUAGGGCCCUACCGCUUUCCACACACACACACAAACAAAACUUGACUUUGGGCA